GUUUGGCUGAAGCCGUCAAUGCAGUGGGAUCUGAAAGUCGCACUGUAAAUGAGCUUAAAAAGAAAUGGUCUGAUAUAAAGGUGGACGUUAAACGGAGAACUGCUGCGCACCGACAAAGUGUGGGCAGGACAGGCAGUGGUAAAGGGGUCGAUGAACUUACACCCUUUGAGCAGAGAGUUGCCUCAAUUAUGGGUGACACUUUACUCUCUGGAGUAGUAUCUUCUGCUGUGGGAGACUCCGAUUUACAGGAUUGCGACGAAGACCCAUAUGGCGCAACAGCCGAAACAUCCACUUCCCAGGAGGGGCACUCGGAGUCCGCCCCUCCUGAGCAGCCAGCGCCCACUGUGCCCAGCGUUUCCAGUGCUCUCCACAGUGCUGACGCCCGUCCGUCUGGUCGCGUCUUGACACAUGCUGUUUUGGAGUCACAACAGCAAAUCAUUAUGGCCAUCGGGGAAAUUAACAGUCACCUGAAAAAUAUCACUGACGCACUCACAGACAUAAGCCACUCAUUAAAGGAAUUGGUCAAAAAGUGAA